GNAUUUAUUGGGCGUAAAGGGAGCGCAGGCGGUCAGGAAAGUCUGGAGUAAAAGGCUAUGGCUCAACCAUAGUGUGCUCUGGAAACUGUCUGACUUGAGUGCAGAAGGGGAGAGUGGAAUUCCAUGUGUAGCGGUGAAAUGCGUAGAUAUAUGGAGGAACACCAGUGGCGAAAGCGGCUCUCUGGUCUGUCACUGACGCUGAGGCUCGAAAGCGUGGGUAGCGAACAGGAUUAGAUACCCUGGUAGUCCACGCCGUAAACGAUGAGUGCUAGGUGUUAGGCCCUUUCCGGGGCUUAGUGCCGGAGCUAACGCAAUAAGCACUCCGCCUGGGGAGUACGACCGCAAGGUUGAAACUCAAAGGAAUUGACGGGGGCCCGCACAAGCGGUGGAGCAUGUGGUUUAAUUCGAAGCAACGCGAAGAACCUUACCAGGUCUUGACAUCCCGAUGCUAUUCUUAGAGAUAGGAAGUUACUUCGGUACAUCGGAGACAGGUGGUGCAUGGUUGUCGUCAGCUCGUGUCGUGAGAUGUUGGGUUAAGUCCCGCAACGAGCGCAACCCUUAUUGUUAGUUGCCAUCAUUAAGUUGGGCACUCUAGCGAGACUGCCGGUAAUAAACCGGAGGAAGGUGGGGAUGACGUCAAAUCAUCAUGCCCCUUAUGACCUGGGCUACGCACGUGCUACAAUGGUCGGUACAACGAGUUGCGAGCCGGUGACGGCAAGCUAAUCUCUGAAAGCCGAUCUCAGUUCGGAUUGGAGGCUGCAACUCGCCUCCAUGAAGUCGGAAUCGCUAGUAAUCGCGGAUCAGCACGCCGCGGUGAAUACGUUCCCGGGCCUUGUACACACCGCCCGUCACACCACGAGAGUUUGUAACACCCGAAGUCGGUGAGGUANCCUUUUAGGG
rnacentral:rRNA from 1 species